GAGGAGUCCGAGGCACCAUUGGGAGAUUCACAGGAAAGAGAAUGGAUGGGGGAGUCUUUUACAGAGAAUGGUUCCUAAGUCUUCUCUCCUCUGUCUCGGCGGCCCUUCUACUCCCCUGCGUCUGCAAGCGCCUUUGUGGCCUCCACUGCAGGCCUCCAGCCAAGGCCAAAACGGAUUCUUUUCAUCUAUUCAAGUGUGAUCUGGGCCAGACAAGCCUGCUCCCCAGGCAAGAGGCAUAGAAAAGUAUUCUGUAUUCAGCUUUCAGCUCCGCAGACUCUAUGGGGAGGGCCCAGCCCAAGCUUGGCAAGGCCGACGCAGUGACCAGGGCCAUUUGGCAGACGCAGGAAUGCUGUCUGUUUGGCCCCUUCCCUUCACCUGGACAGAGCACCGAGCAGAAAGCAGCAGGAAUGUGUUUGUGCAGGUAGACUGAGCUGGAGUCGUUCGCUGUAGAAUUGAUCAACCAAGCAGCCCUCCUGUCAUUGUGUGAAGAGAGAUCAAAGAACAGUCUGAAAUCUGCGUGUAUUUGUAAGGUUUGGAAGGAGAUACUAAAUGUUCAGUCUAUCUAUCUUGCAGCAUCUACCUGAUUUAGGACACAAUA